rnacentral:lncRNA from 1 species
GGCUGGAGGGGCUGGAGUGCAGAGAGCCACCAUCAGAGAGCAGCAAAGCCAGCUCUCCUUGGAGUGAGAUGGGGAACCCUCAGAGAGCCAGGAACAGGGGAGCGUGUUAUUUUAUAUUUUAUUUUAUUUUAUUUUUAUUUUAUUUUAUUUUAUUUUAUUUUAUUUUAUUUUAUUUUAUUUUAUUUUAUUUUAUUUUAUUUUUGAGACAGGGUCUCUGUUGUUCAGGCUGGAGUGCAGUGCUAUCUCAACUCACUGCAACUUCUGCCUCCCAGGUUCAAGUGAUUCUUAUGCCUCAGCCUCCCGAGCAGCUGGGAUUACAGGCACCUGCCACCACGCCCACCUUUGUAUUUUUAGUAGAGACGGGGUUUCGCCAUGUUGGCCAGGCUGGUCUGGAACUCCCGGCCUCAAGUGAUCACCCGCCCUGGCCUCCCAAAGUGCUGGGAUUACAGGGUGAGCCACUGCACCAGCUGAUUUCUGUUUUCAGUAUCUCUCUGCUGUGGUGUGGGCCACUGCCCCGGCUGAUUUCUGUUAUCUCUCUGCUGUGGUGUGGGCCACUGCCCCGGCUGAUUUCUGUUAUCUCUCUGCUGUGGUGUGGGCCACUGCACCGGCUGAUUUCUGUUUUCAGUAUCUCUCUGCUGUGGUGUGGGAAAUAUUGUAGAUGGAAGGGUCGAGAAAGAAACCUAGGAGGCCAGUGGAGAAGCCACUGCAAUGGCCAAGUUCAAAAUGAUGGUGACCAGGAUGGCAGCAGCAGAGACAGUGAGAAGUGA